rnacentral:rRNA from 1 species
GACGGAAGGUGUAAGCGUUGCUCGGAAUCACUGGGCGUAAAGGGCGCGUAGGCGGCUCAUACAGUCAGAUGUGAAAUUCCUGGGCUUAACCUGGGGGCUGCAUUUGAUACGUGUGGGCUUGAGUGGGGAAGAGGGUCGUGGAAUUCCCAGUGUAGAGGUGAAAUUCGUAGAUAUUGGGAAGAACACCGGUGGCGAAGGCGGCGACCUGGUCCUUGACUGACGCUGAGGCGCGAAAGCGUGGGGAGCAAACAGG